AUUGAACGCUGGCGGCAGGCUUAACACAUGCAAGUCGAGCGGAGUGAUGGUGCUUGCACUAUCACUUAGCGGCGGACGGGUGAGUAAUGCUUAGGAAUCUGCCUAUUAGUGGGGGACAACAUUUCGAAAGGAAUGCUAAUACCGCAUACGUCCUACGGGAGAAAGCAGGGGAUCUUCGGACCUUGCGCUAAUAGAUGAGCCUAAGUCGGAUUAGCUAGUUGGUGGGGUAAAGGCCUACCAAGGCGACGAUCUGUAGCGGGUCUGAGAGGAUGAUCCGCCACACUGGGACUGAGACACGGCCCAGACUCCUACGGGAGGCAGCAGUGGGGAAUAUUGGACAAUGGGCGCAAGCCUGAUCCAGCCAUGCCGCGUGUGUGAAGAAGGCCUUAUGGUUGUAAAGCACUUUAAGCGAGGAGGAGGCUACUGAAGUUAAUACCUUCAGAUAGUGGACGUUACUCGCAGAAUAAGCACCGGCUAACUCUGUGCCAGCAGCCGCGGUAAUACAGAGGGUGCAAGCGUUAAUCGGAUUUACUGGGCGUAAAGCGCGCGUAGGCGGCUAAUUAAGUCAAAUGUGAAAUCCCCGAGCUUAACUUGGGAAUUGCAUUCGAUACUGGUUAGCUAGAGUGUGGGAGAGGAUGGUAGAAUUCCAGGUGUAGCGGUGAAAUGCGUAGAGAUCUGGAGGAAUACCGAUGGCGAAGGCAGCCAUCUGGCCUAACACUGACGCUGAGGUGCGAAAGCAUGGGGAGCAAACAGGAUUAGAUACCCUGGUAGUCCAUGCCGUAAACGAUGUCUACUAGCCGUUGGGGCCUUUGAGGCUUUAGUGGCGCAGCUAACGCGAUAAGUAGACCGCCUGGGGAGUACGGUCGCAAGACUAAAACUCAAAUGAAUUGACGGGGGCCCGCACAAGCGGUGGAGCAUGUGGUUUAAUUCGAUGCAACGCGAAGAACCUUACCUGGCCUUGACAUAGUAAGAACUUUCCAGAGAUGGAUUGGUGCCUUCGGGAACUUACAUACAGGUGCUGCAUGGCUGUCGUCAGCUCGUGUCGUGAGAUGUUGGGUUAAGUCCCGCAACGAGCGCAACCCUUUUCCUUAUUUGCCAGCGAGUAAUGUCGGGAACUUUAAGGAUACUGCCAGUGACAAACUGGAGGAAGGCGGGACGACGUCAGUCAUCAUGGCCCUUACAGCCAGGGCUACACACGUGCUACAAUGGUCGGUACAAAGGGUUGCUACCUAGCG
rnacentral:rRNA from 1 species